rnacentral:lncRNA from 1 species
UUUAGCAGAUCAGAUUUCUCUGUGAUAUGCCAUGCCAUGGCAGGCUGGGAUCAUCAGCUGUGGCAGACAGAUCUGCAGUGGUUCCAUAGUUAGCAGCUUGUGGGUUCUCACAGCUGCCCACUGUGUCAGGAACAUGUACACUUGUGAGUGCCUCUUCCCUUACCCUGUGAUGCAUUAUCCCAUAAUUACAUUGCUGAAGGUUUCUCUGUCCAAAUUCGCUUCUGUAAUCCAUGACUAUCUCCCUUAUACAGAUAACAUUUUUGUUUUAGACUAAUAAGAAAUUGUCUCACUGUGUUUGGCUUAUUAUUACCGCUGUUAGUUAAUUCCUCUACAAUCCCGUUGUCUGUGGACUCUUUAUUCAUAGAUUUCUGAUUUCUCUGAAGAUGAGCUAGGGACCUUGUGUAUCAUGACUAAAGAAAUAUGCUGGAAAGCCUGAUGUAGGUUUAAGGUUCAGGUUUUCUAAUGAAUGUACUAUAAUAAACCUUUGCCUAUGUACACAGGAAUCCUGAAGACACUGCUGUGAUUAUUGGCCUGACGCACCCUGUGGUACCACUGAGAGUUGUGAAGUUGUCUACCAUUCUACUGCAUGAGUUGCAGUAGAACCCCUGGCUGGUGAGAGGGGCAGCAAGAAAUGACCUGACAUUGCUACUCCUCCAAGAUGUCCAGACUACCAUUCGGCUCUUAGUACCCUUAGGGAGAGACUGAUGAGAAUCCAGAAAUGUUAAAGAUGCAAGUGAUGGAAGCUUCCAGCUGUGCCCACCUGUAACCUGACAUAGUUCCAUUGUUUGCUUCAUUACUCAGGCCAAAGACUCUAAUGCAAAUGUGGUACACAGUCACAUGUUUUUCUAUCUACAUGAUAGAAACUAUAACUUCAUCCCUAUAUAAAAGGGUAUACAGCGUAUGACUAAAUGAUAAAUAUACGUGAAUCACUGAUCAGUAAGAAACCAUUUUAAAAGUCUUUAACUACAGAACAAAAUCUCUGAAAAAAAUUGUUGUUAAUCUCUGAGUUUUCUUACAUGGGUAAUUAAUCUCUAGUCAUACUAAAUAGCUAGUAUGCUGCUCUUCAAACAAAUCAGAUAUUUUAUAUAAUUUCCAUAUUCUAAUAAUAGUAUCUUUACACCUCAGAGUUUUAAACAAGUCCAACCUUUUUCUACUUCCCCAAUUAAAAUAACUUUUUAAGGUUUAACCUUCAGUGAUUUUUGUAGUAAUAUUUUUGAAGGUAUUUGAUCAGGAUGCUUUACUUAUGUACUUAUCUGAUGUCUCCCUUUGUUCUGUAUACAUAUUUUAUUACACACUUAUUAGAUCUAAGUUUAAGAAGUUGGAACAGGGAUUUAAAUCCAAAUUAUAUAUUUUAAUUUACAGGAGUCAGUGUGUCCAGGAAGUGACAUUAUCUGCAGACCAAUACUGGCAAUGGCAGUUGGAGACAAAUAGGCUUCACCAGUCUCAAAGCCCUACCUACUACAAUGAGUCCACACUUCUCCUGGAUUUUAUCUACUUCAGCAAAAGAAGGCCACCCACCAAACCAGGCCAUUGUGCUUUGGGUGGAAACUCCUAAGUCCUAUAGUCUCCUUAAACAGCCAACCACACUGCCACUUUCCUCAAUAAUUACUGCAGCCCUGAGACUUUGGUAGCCUAGUAACUAUAACUACUGAUGCUACAGUCUGGUCACAGUAUGAUAAAACACCAGAGCAACAAAAACAAAAAUAUUGACUUAAGCCUUCUAAAAUCUCUCUAAAUAUACCUUCAAUAAAUAUGUUUUUUUCUACAGAACAACUGCUUUCUACUUCCUGAACUAACGUUUGGCCUUGGAUUUUUCUCAUUGUUGAAAUUGAUUCAAAAGUAUACAUUUAACAUGAAGGUGAUUAUAGAAUUUCAUGUGUCAGCAACUAAAAUUUUCAAAAUGAU